GUUUAUGGCCAUACCACCCUGAAUGCACCCCAUCUUGUCUGAUCUUGGAAGCUGAGCAGAGUCUGGCCUGGUUGCUACUUGGAUGGGAGAAAUCCCUAUUCUUCAUGUCACUCCAGCCCUUGGGUUGGAAAUU
rnacentral:rRNA from 1 species